rnacentral:rRNA from 1 species
UACAGAGGCCCCAAGCGUUACUGAGAAUCACUGGGUUUAAAGGGUGCGUAGGUGGCGCGUUAAGUCCGUUGUGAAAGCCCUGGGCUCAACCCAGGAACUGCUUCGGAUACUGGCGCGCUUGAGGCUAGUAGGGGUCACUGGAACUGACGGUGGAGCGGUGAAAUGCGUAGAUAUCGUCAGGAACGCCAAUGGUGAAGACAGGUGACUGGGCUAGUUCUGACACUGAGGCACGAAAGCGUGGGGAGGCGAACGGG